rnacentral:rRNA from 1 species
CAGCAGCCGCGGUAAUACGUAGGUGGCGAGCGUUAUCCGGAAUUAUUGGGCGUAAAGGGUGCGUAGGCGGUCUGUUAAGUUCAUGGUCAAAUUGUGGGGCUCAACCCCAUCGCGCCAUGGAUACUGGCAGACUAGAGUAUUGGAGAGGCAAGUGGAAUUCCAUGUGUAGCGGUAAAAUGCGUAGAUAUAUGGAGGAACACCGGUGGCGAAGGCGACUUGCUAGCCAAAGACUGACGCUGAGGCACGAAAGCGUGGGGAGCAAAUAGGAUUAGAUACCCUAGUAGUCCACGCUGUAAACGAUGAAUACUAAGUAUUGGGGAGACUCAGUGCUGCAGCUAACGCAUUAAGUAUUCCGCCUGUGGAGUAUGCACGCAAGUGUGAAACAUAAAGGAAUUGACGGGGGCCCGCACAAGCGGUGGAGUAUGUGGUUUAAUUCGACGCAACGCGAAGAACCUUACCAGGCCUUGACAUCCCUUGCGAAGUUCUAGAGAUAGGAUAGAGGUUAUCAAGGAGACAGGUGGUGCAUGGUUGUCGUCAGCUCGUGUCGUGAGAUGUUGGGUUAAGUCCCGCAACGAGCGCAACCCUUGUCUUCAGUUACCAUCAUUAAGUUGGGGACUCUGGAGAGACUGCCGGUGAUAAACCGGAGGAAGGUGGGGAUGACGUCAAAUCAUCAUGCCCCUUAUGGCCUGGGCUACACACGUACUACAAUGGCUAUUACAACGUGGAGCGACUGUGCGAACAGAAGCGAAUCACUGAAAGAUAGUCUCAGUUCGGAUUGGAGUCUGCAACUCGACUCCAUGAAGUUGGAAUCGCUAGUAAUCGCGGAUCAGCAUGCCGCGGUGAAUACGUUCUCGGGCCUUGUACACACCGCCCGUCAUACCAUGAGAGUUGGUAAUACCCGAAGCCGGUGGCCUAACCGAAAGGAAGGAGCCGUCGAAGGUAGGACUAAUGAUUGGGGUCAAGUCGUAACAAGGUAGCCGU